rnacentral:lncRNA from 1 species
GAUCUCCUGAUAUUUGUAGUCUUAAAUCAUAGUGACAGCCACAUAUGAUUAAUAAGUUGGCAUGUUUAAAAGGUGUCCUCUAUCCCGUGAAGAAGUUGAAGGUGUAGACUUGCACCCCUUGGCCCACCAGCUGGUGAAUAAAGAUGGUUCUGCCUCCUGCCUUAAGAUUGACUCAGUGACUUAUGGCAAUCUUGCCAUAACAUCACCAACUUGAGAAAUCAUGGCACCCUGCACUAAGAUUUCCCUUUUAAUUUUUUCUUUUUCUUUUUUGGAUUUGAUGCCCUUUAGAAUUCUCUGUUAUAUUGGUACUUGCUGUCAAUAAGCAUCUUAUAAUGACAAUUUCAAACACACACAAAGUAGACAAGGUACUCUGAAGUGCUGCUAUUGAGCAUUGUGCUAGCAGAGUGGCACUCUUCAUUAUCUGCUCCCAGGCAUAAGCCUCUCGCUCCUGGGCUUCUGCUCCACACAUGUGCUCUCACUUCAUUCAUUUUUUGCAUUUGAAACCACCAGUGUUAAGGUUGUCAGUCUUCUCCUCCCAUCACACUCCUUACAAAGAAGCAAUAGGGCAACUGGCCAGAGUUCUCUGCAGUGGAACUGAUGAGGGGCAUGCAAGCACUCCAGGAUUUGUUAUUACCACUUCAGUCACUCCUAGAAGAUGUGGGUCUUGAAGAUUCAGAAGUCACUCAGGCCUCUUGGGCAAACACUCAUUCUACUGUAGCUGUGGACACAUCUGCCCACCUGGAUCCUCUGGAGGGAAAAGAAAUUAUUAGGCUGCAGCAAAGAUCUGUUUGUAAUUGAGGGCUCCUGAGCCUGUGGACACCUCUCCAGAGAACAAAGAACUUCCUGUGUGCCAUCUGGGUAAGGAGAUCCAUGGGUGAGCAUAAAGCAAUAGACAGGGCCUGGAGGAGCCCAGGGCUACAGGGAGAUGUGGAGUGAGCCUGAUCAUUGGUGCAAGUGGGUGUCUCAGUGCAGGUAGGAAAAGCAAAGCAAGCAUGCUGCAAGGGCUGCAUGGUGUGUGCAUCAUGGUGUGUGCAGUGUAUACAAAGGCUGUGUGGAUUUGGAUAAUAUGUGUGUACACAGGCACAGAAGGGGCCAACAAGUUCUUUAAGAAAACAACUGCCAUGCCUUUAAAUUUUACAAACAUUCACAAUGUCCAAUUUUAACUGCUGAAUUAAAGCAAACAAAUUUUCAGAAAUUA